rnacentral:rRNA from 1 species
ACGAACGCUGGCGGCGUGCCUCAUCCCUGCCAGUAGAACGCUGAAGAGAGGAGCUUGCUCUUCUUGGAUGAGUUGCGAACGGGUGAGUAACGCGUAGGUAACCUGCCUUGUAGCGGGGGAUAACUAUUGGAAACGAUAGCUAAUACCGCAUAACAAUGGAUGACGCAUGUCAUUUAUUUGAAAGGGGCAAUUGCUCCACUACAAGAUGGACCUGCGUUGUAUUAGCUAGUAGGUGAGGUAAUGGCUCACCUAGGCGACGAUACAUAGCCGACCUGAGAGGGUGAUCGGCCACACUGGGACUGAGACACGGCCCAGACUCCUACGGGAGGCAGCAGUAGGGAAUCUUCGGCAAUGGGGGCAACCCUGACCGAGCAACGCCGCGUGAGUGAAGAAGGUUUUCGGAUCGUAAAGCUCUGUUGUAAGUCAAGAACGGGUGUGAGAGUGGAAAGUUCACACUGUGACGGUAGCUUACCAGAAAGGGACGGCUAACUACGUG